rnacentral:rRNA from 1 species
UACGUAGGGUGCAAGCGUUGUCCGGAAUUAUUGGGCGUAAAGAGCUUGUAGGCGGUUUGUCGCGUCUGCUGUGAAAUUUCGGGGCUCAACCCCGAACUUGCAGUGGGUACGGGCAGACUAGAGUGUGGUAGGGGAGACUGGAAUUCCUGGCGUAGCGGUGGAAUGCGCAGAUAUCAGGAGGAACACCAAUAGCGAAGGCAGCUCGCUGGGACGGUACUGACGCUAAGGCGCGAAAGCGUGGGGAGCGAACAGG